UGGGGAAUAUUGGACAAUGGGGGAAACCCUGAUCCAGCCAUGCCGCGUGCGUGAAGAAGGCCUUAGGGUUGUAAAGCGCUUUCGGCGGGGAAGAUGAUGACGGUACCCGCAGAAGAAGCCCCGGCUAACUCCGUGCCAGCAGCCGCGGUAAUACGGAGGGGGCUAGCGUUGUUCGGAAUUACUGGGCGUAAAGGGCGCGUAGGCGGGCGAUCAAGUCAGAGGUGAAAGGCCUGGGCUCAACCUGGGAAUUGCCUUUGAAACUGAUUGUCUAGAGUCCGGAAGAGGAUGGCGGAAUUCCCAGUGUAGAGGUGAAAUUCGUAGAUAUUGGGAAGAACACCAGUGGCGAAGGCGGCCAUCUGGUCCGGUACUGACGCUGAGGCGCGAAAGCGUGGGGAGCAAACAGGAUUAGAUACCCAGGUAGUCCCUGAGCGGGCUGGCAAGGCGCAU
rnacentral:rRNA from 1 species